rnacentral:rRNA from 1 species
GAUGAACGCUGGCUACAGGCUUAACACAUGCAAGUCGAGGGGAAACGACGGGGAAGCUUGCUUCCCCGGGCGUCGACCGGCGCACGGGUGAGUAACGCGUAUCCAACCUGCCUCUGACUGAGGGAUAACCCGUCGAAAGUCGGCCUAAUACCUCAUGGUAUCGUCUGCGGGCAUCCAACGACGAUUAAAGAUUUCAUCGGUCAGGGAUGGGGAUGCGUCUGAUUAGCUUGUUGGCGGGGUAACGGCCCACCAAGGCUACGAUCAGUAGGGGUUCUGAGAGGAAGGUCCCCCACAUUGGAACUGAGACACGGUCCAAACGCCUACGGGAGGCAGCAGUGAGGAAUAUUGGUCAAUGGGCGAGAGCCUGAACCAGCCAAGUAGAGUGCAGGAAGACGGCCCUAGGGGUGGUAAACUGCUUUUAUGCGGGGAUAAAGUGAGGGACGUGUCCCUCAUUGCAGGUACCGCAUGAAUAAGGACCGGCUAAUUCCGUG